rnacentral:rRNA from 1 species
UACGUAGGGGGCUAGCGUUGUCCGGAAUCAUUGGGCGUAAAGCGCGUGUAGGCGGUCCGGUAAGUCCGCUGUGGAAGUCGAGGGCUCAACCCUCGAAUGCCGGUGGAUACUGUCGGGCUAGAGUACGGAAGAGGCGAGUGGAAUUCCUGGUGUAGCGGUGAAAUGCGCAGAUAUCAGGAGGAACACCAAUUGCGAAGGCAGCUCGCUGGGACGUUACUGACGCUGAGACGCGAAAGCGUGGGGAGCAAACAGG